rnacentral:rRNA from 1 species
UACGGGGGGAGCAAGCGUUGUUCGGAUUUACUGGGCGUAAAGGGCGUGUAGGCGGCCACCGCAAGUCGACUGUGAAAUCUCCGGGCUUAACUCGGAAAGGUCAGCCGAUACUGCGGGGCUAGAGUGCAGAAGGGGCAACUGGAAUCCUCGGUGUAGCGGUGAAAUGCGUAGAUAUCGAGAGGAACACCUGCGGCGAAGGCGGGUUGCUGGGCUGACACUGACGCUGAAGAGCGAAAGCGUGGGGAGCGAACAGG